rnacentral:rRNA from 1 species
CCUACGGGAGGCAGCAGUGGGGAAUAUUGCGCAAUGGGCGAAAGCCUGACGCAGCGACGCCGCGUGAGGGAUGAAGGUCUUCGGAUCGUAAACCUCUGUCAGCAGGGAAGAACGGUCACUGUGCUAAUCAGCAGUGAAUUGACGGUACCUGCAAAGGAAGCACCGGCUAACUCCGUGCCAGCAGCCGCGGUAAUACGGAGGGUGCGAGCGUUAAUCGGAAUUACUGGGCGUAAAGCGCUCGUAGGCGGUAUGUCAAGUCAAGGGUGAAAUCCCCGCGCUCAACGGGGGUACUGCCUUUGAAACUGGCAAACUGGAGUGUGUGAGAGGAUAGUGGAAUUCCAGGUGUAGGAGUGAAAUGCGUAGAUAUCUGGAGGAACAUCAGUGGCGAAGGCGACUAUCUGGCACAUAACUGACGCUGAGGAGCGAAAGCGUGGGUAGCAAACAGGAUUAGAUACCCCAGUAGUC